ACUCCUACGGGAGGCAGCAGCAGGGAAUCUUGGGCAAUGGGCGAAAGCCUGACCCAGCGACGUCGCGUGGAGGAAGAAGGCCUUAGGGCUGUAAACUCCUUUUCUAAGGGAAGAGUAAGGACGGUACCUGGGAAUAAGCACCGGCUAACUCC
rnacentral:rRNA from 1 species